rnacentral:rRNA from 1 species
GACGUAGGGGGCGAGCGUUAUCCGGAUUUACUGGGCGUAAAGGGCGCGUAGGCGGACCGUUUCGCCACCAUUGAAAGCGUGGGGCUCAACCCCAUGAGGGUGGUGGGACGAGCGGUCUAGGGGCAAGCAGAGGAAGGUGGAAUUCCGGGUGGAGUGGUGAAAUGCGUAGAGAUCCGGAGGAACACCAGGGGCGAAGGCGACCUUCUGGGCUUGACCCGACGCUGAGGCGCGAAAGCGUGGGGAGCGAACUGAAUUAGAUACUCAGGUAGUCCACGCCCUCAACGAUGGACACGAGGCGUGGGGGGUAUCGACCCCCUCCGUGCCGGCGCUAACGCAGGAAGUGUCCCGCCUGGGGAGUACGGCCGCAAGGCUAAA